AUGGUGGCGGUGAAAACCCUGAACGCCAAGACCAAGGUGGCCCGAGCGCAGGCGGCCCUGGUGGUCAACAUCAGCGCCGCGCGGGGUCUGCAGGACGUGCUAAGGACCAACCUGGCACCCAAGGGCACCGUGAAGAUGCUCGUUUCUGGCGCUGGAGACAUCGAACUUACUAAAGACGGCAAUGUGCUGCUUCACGAAAUGCAAGUUCAACAUCCAACAGCUUCCUUAAUAGCAAAGGUAGCAACAGGCCAGGAUGAUAUAACUGGUGAUGCUACGACUUCCAAUGUGCGUAAUCAUUGGAGAGCUAAUGAAACAGGCGGAUCUCUACAUUUCUGAAGGCCUUCAUCCCUGAAUAACCGCUGAAGGAUUUGAAGCUGCAAAGGAAAAGGCCCUUCAGUUUUUGGAAGAAGUCAAAGCAAGCAGAGAGAUGGACAGGGAAGCACUUAUAGAUGUGGCCAGAACACCUCUUCGUACUAAAGUUCAUCCUGAACUUGUAGAUGUCUUAACAGAGGCUGUAGUGGACUCCAUUUUGGCCAUUAAAAAACAAGAUGAACCUAUUGAUCUCUUCAUGAUUGAGAUCAUGGAGAUGAAACAUAAAUCUGAAACUGAUACAAGCUUAAUCAGAGGGCUUGUUUUGGACCAUGGAGCAUGGCAUCCUGAUAUGAAGAAAAGGGUGGAGGAUGCAUACGUCCUCACCUGUAACGUAUCAUUAGAGUAUGAAAAAACAGAAGUGAAUUCUGGCUCUUUUUUUUACAAAAGUGCAGAAGAGAGAGAAAAACUCCUAAAAGCUUAAAGAAAAUUUCAUUGAAGAUAGAGUUAAAAAAAAAAAAAAACUGAAAAGGAAAGUCUGUGGUGAUUCAGAUAAAGGAUUUGUUGUUAUUAAUCAAAAGGGGAUUGACCCCUUUUCCUUAGAUGCUCUUUCAAAAGAAGGCAUACUUGCUCUGCGUAUAGCUAAAAGGAGAAAUAUGGAGAGGCUGACUCUUGCUUGUGGUGGGGUAGCCCUGGAUUAUUUUGACAACCUAAGUCCUGGCUGCUUGGGACAUGCAGGACUUGUAUAUAAGUAUAAAUUGGAAGAAGAGAAGUUCACCUUUAUUGAGAAAUGUAACCACCCUCGUUCUGUCACUUUAUUGAUCAAAGGAGCAAAUAAGCACACACUCACUCAGAUCAAAGAUGCAGUGAGGGAUGGCUUGAGGGCUGUCAAAAAUGUUAUUGAUGAUGGCUGUGUGGUUCCAGGUUAUGGUGCUGUGGAAGUGGCUAUGGCAGAAGCCCUGAUUAAAUGUAAGCCCAGUGUAAAUGGCAGGGCACAGCUUGGAGUCCAAGCAUUUGCUGAUGCGUUGCUCAUUAUUCCCAAGGUUCUUGCUCAGAACUCUGGUUUUGACCUUCAGGAAACAUUAGCUAAAAUUCAAGCAAAACAUUCAGAAUCAGGUGAGCUUGUGGGUGUGGACCUGAACACAGGUGAGCCAAUAGUAGCAGCAGAAGUACGCGUAUGGGAUAACUAUUUUGUAAAGAAGCAGCUUCUUCACUCCUGCACUGUGAUCGCCACCAACAUUCUCUUGGUUGAUGAGAUCAUGAGAGCUGGAAUGUCUUCUCUGAAAGGUUGAAUUGAAGCUUCCUCUGUAUCUGAGUCUUGAAGACUCUGCAAAGUGAUCCUGAGGAAUACAGCUGUGGAAUUUUUGUACAAGCUUCAAAUGGAUUUUUCCCAUAUGAAAAAGGAGGGAACACUGGCAUCUGUUGAAAUUUGGAAGUUCUGAAAUUACAGUAUUUUUUAAAAUUGCACUGAAGCGUAUACUCAUAAAGCAGGUCUUUUACCCAGUGAACAGGAUGUUUUGCUUUAGCAGCAGUGACAUAAAUUCCUUGUUAGAUAAAAUACAUUA